UGUUAAGGAUUUUUAAGGAAGUCCGCUUCCUUGUUUAUUUAAAUAAGCGAAAUUUACGGAAAUAAAGUUUUAAAUAGCCGAACGCGGCGCUUUACGUGUCACAAGCAUUGCUUUUUUUAUUUUUUUAAUAGAUUCACUCGUAACAUAGUACCGGACAACAUUGUAUAGCGUAGAAUACGGAAAGUGCAGAAACUCUGAGCUCGCUCAGUGUUUGAGUGAACGAGCAGUAAGCGUUGUGGCGGCGAGUCAAAUGCACUUCCACGAGGUUAGAAUACCAAAUUCGAAAUGUCUGUUUAAGCUAAUCUGCUCUGAAAUAAUCAUUACAAUUCACAUUCGUCGCAGGGCGCGGGUAUCGCCAUUGAAUCACGUCGGGGUCACCAAUAUCGCCAUUGAAGUUUUAUAUUAGUAUAUUCUUAUGAAGACGACGAUGUUGAUUGGUGUAAACUGAGGUCGCUCGGGCGAAGCGGUGAGUGUCGCGGAGUGUCGCGGAGUGCCGUCGACAGCUCUCAGCGUAAACUGGUCCGCGCGGCGCGGCGUCGGUGCGGGCGCGCGCUCGCAUCGCUUAGCGCAAUUAUGCGCGAUGAAUAUGCGAGGCGCCGCGUAUCGUCUCGUGUCGCUUCCCACAUCUGCCGCCGGGCGCCGACUGUCCCGCUCACUUGCUCGUAUAACAUCACUGGAGAGCACCGGCUGAGAAGUGGACUGUGACGAGAAGAGAUUCAUGUCUUAACUUUAUUCAUGUUUUAACGCACGUACCUAGUUAGUUUUAUGAGCUUUAGUAAAUUGCAGUAUAGAGCUUUUUAUGACAGAGGUUGUACGGGUAAAGACUUGUUCACUUCUGCCGCCGAGUACACUGGCAGUGUAGCACUCGUCGCUGGCAAAACUCUCGCCUGAAGCCGACGGACGCAGGCGACACUGUACGACGUGACUCUUACACGUCCGACGUACUGCGUAUUUGUAGGCGAUUCCUCACUCUCCUCCUCCUCCUCUUUCUCAUUUACUUGUUUCGUCUGCAUUUUUACUAUCUGAAUGGAUGAAUUUAUUGCUUACUUUUUUUUUAAUUCUUUACAAGUUUGGCCUUGACUACAAUCUCACCUGAUGGUAAGUGAUGAUGCAGUCUAAGAUGGAAGCGGUCUAACUUGUUAGGAGGAGGAUGAAAGUCCACACCCCUUUUGGUUUCUACACGGCAUGGUACUGGAACGCUAAAUCGCUUGGCGGUACGUCUUUGCCGGUAGGGUGGUAACUAGCCACGGCCGAAGCCUACCCACCAGCCAUUAAAUCUUAAGAAAAUCUCAACCUGCCCAGACGGGGAUCGAACCCAGGACCUUCGUUUUGUAUAUCCACCGCGCAUACCAUUGCGCCACGGAGGCCGUAAUUACUCACUAAAUUGAAGUGCACACCGUGCGAUUGUGCGAGGUCCAUAAUUAUGUGGGUGUAUGUGGUACAUACCGGUCUGUGAGACCAAUAUACCAAUUGUUUUUGUGUCAAUAAUUUGUUUUUUUUUGUUUGCGCUAGUUUUAUUUUAUAUUUUGGCAAUUUUUGUCAUGUUAUAUUUGAUAUCAAAAUAAACAUAUAGCAAUAUGUAACUAUUAGACGAGGAAUAACAUAGGGGUCAUAGACUUAAACCACACAGAUAGUGCGUAGUCGCAGGAUUCGUAUGUCGUUUUAUGUACCCCGAAAUGGGAGCCCUUGACGCAUCUGCGCUGCGCUGCACUACGGUGCUCUUACGCUCACAUAGUCACAGAAGCGGCUUACGAAUACGUUUGGGGUGAAACAUUGUUUGGUGUUGCGCGUCUAUGGGUUACAAGUCUAAGAUUGGGGUGAUAUAAUUUAAGAAGAUAACAACCUACUAAUAAUUAUAUUAUUAUAGUAUCCUAAGAUACGUAUAUGUCUUAGAGUUAGGCGAUAUUUGAAAAUAAUUUUGGAUUUUACUAAUUAGAUUCCCAAUUCGAACUUAUUUUAAGAGAAAUAGGUUCAGGGCGUCAGAUGUUACUGAUCAACGAGUGCAUUUUAGGUCAAAAUUAUUUCUCCUUCUUCUAUAACAAUAGUUGAGAUGUCAUUCGGUUCGGAAUCGCAUGUAGAUAGUUUUUGAAAAAUUGAAAGGCCGCUCGCAAAAAUAAUGAAAGUUAUAAACAAUUAUCUAAAAUAAAAAAGGGGUUUGGUUUUUUACUUAUAUCUCAAAAACUGUUUAAGAUAUUUAUAAUUUGAUAAAAGAUGCAAAAGUACUAAAUAAUAAUAUAAAAAAUCUGAAAAAGAUACAGUAAAUAAUAUCAAGAGAUAGUAAAACAAAUUACAGUCAACAA